GACGAACGCUGGCGGCGUGCUUAACACAUGCAAGUCGAGCGGUAAGGCCCUUUCGGGGGUACACGAGCGGCGAACGGGUGAGUAACACGUGGGUGACCUGCCCUCAGCUCUGGGAUAAGCCUGGGAAACCGGGUCUAAUACUGGAUAUGACUCCAUGACGCAUGUUGUGGGGUGGAAAGCCUUGUGCGGCUGAGGAUGGGCCCGCGGCCUAUCAGCUUGUUGGUGGGGUGANGGGCCUACCAAGGCGACGACGGGUAGCCGGCCUGAGAGGGCGACCGGCCACACUGGGACUGAGACACGGCCCAGACUCCUACGGGAGGCAGCAGUGGGGAAUCUUGCGCAAUGGGCGAAAGCCUGACGCAGCGACGCCGCGUGAGGGAUGACGGCC
rnacentral:rRNA from 1 species